CCCAGCCACCACCACCCUUACAUGGAAUCAGAGAAUGGCCUGGGUUGAAAAGGAGCACAGUGCUUGUCUAGUUCCAAACCCCUGCUAUGUGCAGGGUCGCCAGCCAGCAGCCCAGGCUGCCCAGAGCCACAUCCAGCCUGGCCUUGAAUGCCUGCAGGGAUGGGGCAUCCACAGCCUCCUUGGGCAACCUGUUCCAGUGCAUUACCACCCUCUGGGUGAAAUUCUUUGCAUAGGAUCCUCUCAAAGCUGAUUGGGAUGGCCCGUUUUCCUCAGGAUUAACCAACAUUAAAUACUGCCUUCCUCCCUUCAGAAGUGUUUUUUACCUCUGGAUCCAUCCAGCACCAUUCCCCCAUUGGGAGCUUCUGCAGGGCACACUGCACUCCCCUGGAGCACACCCAUGUACUGACAGCAGCACCCUGCUCUGCAAAAUGGAACUCACAGCUUGUGCUCAAAGUUAGUGCUUUAGCUCCUCCAGGGAGAACACAUUGCUUUGUUUCAACUGAGGAACCCACCUCUACUGGAAGGAGUGUGAUACAUGAGGGGGCUUCAGCAGGAAUUAUGUGGAGAAGAGCAUUUCCUUGCAGUUUUCUGCCUAUCACUGGCUAUAGCCUUUCUCCUGCUCAGCCUGGUGUGCUGUCCUUUGGGCCACCAGCUGGGCUGCAUGAGCCAUCAAGCCCAGGGAGACAAAAGCAGGCAGCUGGGAGCUGUAUUAUGGUUGUGGUGGAGGAGAGCAGGUAGAGAUGGUGCUUCAUGGGAGCUCUGAGUCUCAGUGAGAGCAGUGUCACGUUGACCUCCCAAGCCCUCGUUCAUCACUUCUGUAGAGGAUUCCCUCUGCUCUUUGCACUGCUUUGCCACCUUGAAAGCCAGGACAGCAGUGCCCUGUGAGGAGACGAUGGUGUGACCCAAGGGCAGUGGUGGCUGUGGAUGGAGUCCGUGCUGCAUUGCAUGGAGCUGGAAAACAAAACCCAGGUCAGGUUUUGCUGGAGAACUGUCAGGGAAGUUGUGGCAGCUUUGAACUGGCUCUGCUUGCUGGCUGACUUCCAUCUUGGCAGGUAUUUUGGCAGUUCUUUUCUGCUGGAGGCUUUUCUCAACUCAUGUUCUUUCGAGCUUUGCUUGAGAUAUCAGGUACUCCCCAACCCCGUCCCUUCUGUGGCCUCAGCUCCCUUGCUCAAGAGGAUGAAGGCAAUGGACUGUAUGUCACUGUAACAGCAUGUGACACAAAGCUUUCAUGGCUGUGUUUUUAAUCUGAGUAACUCAGGCAGUCUGUUCCUUCAAGACCCCCCACACCCCAAGCACUUUUAGCUGCACUUCUUAUUCCCACGGAAGAUGGAUGCAAUGCAUGCAGCCAUGCAUGGAAGGCAGUGCUGUGUUGAGCUCAGCCCAUGUGUUCCACACAGGACGCUGGCUGGCAGCC
rnacentral:lncRNA from 1 species